ensembl:lncRNA
GGCAGAUCAAAGUGUCAUUAAAGCACACAUACAAUCCAUCAAAAAGACAUCCACCUGCACACAGCCACCAACCCCAGCACACGGCCACUGCUGCUCUUUAGAAAACACCCACAGGUCUGUAAUCAGAGUGUGUCUGAGUGUGGGGGAGUGUAUGAGAGCAUGUCUGAGUGCUUGGGAGUGUUUAGGAGUGUCUGAGUGUAUGGGAGUGUGUGUGUGUGUGUGUGUGUGUGUGUGUGUGUGUGUAUAUGUUGGAGCGGGAGUGUGUUCAAGUGUGUUGGAGUGCUUGGGAGUGUGUGAGAUUGUGUCUGAGUGUGUUGGAGUGUGUGAGAGUGCAUGGAAGUGUUUGGGAGUGUGUGAGAGUGUGUGAGAGUGUGUGAGAGUGUGGGAGUGUGUCUGAGUGUGUGGGAGUGUAUGGGAGUGUGUGGGAGUGUAUGGGAGUGUGUGGGAGUGUAUGGGAGUGUGUGGGAGUGUGUGGGAGUGUAUGGGAGUGUGUGGGAGUGUUUGGGAGUGUGUGGGAGUGUGUGGGAGUGUGUUUGGGAGGGACAGAGAGAGACACUGAGAGUGACAGAGAGAGACACUGAAAGGGACAGAGAGAGACACUUGAGUGACAGAGAGACACUUAAAGGGACAGAAAGAGAUACUGAGAGAGACACUGAGAGGGACAGAGAGAGACACUGAAAGGGACAGAGAGAGACACAGAGAAAGACACUGAGAGGGACAGAGAGAGACACUGAAAGGGACAGCGAGAGACACUUGAAGGGACAGAGAGAGAUACUGAGAGAGACACUGAGUGACAGAGAGAGACACUGAGUAACAGAGAGAGACACUGAAAGGGACAGAGAGAGACACUGAAUGACAGAGAGAGACACUGAGUAACAGAGAGAGACACUGAAAGGGACAGAGAAAGACACUGAUUGAAAGAAAGAGGCACUGAGGGACAGAGAGAGAUACUGAGAGAGACACUGAGUGACAGAGAGAGACACUGAGUAACAGAGAGAGACACUGAAAGGGACAGAGAAAGACACUGAUUGAAAGAAAGAGGCACUGAGGUACAGCGAGACACUGAAAGGGACUGAGAGAGACACUGCUUGACAGAGAGAGACACUGAAGGGACUGAGGACAGAGGGAGACACUGAAAGGGAC